rnacentral:lncRNA from 1 species
ACCACGGGGGGGUCUCAACAUGGGAUUUUGGGUACAGGUGUGCAGCUGGGAUUUUAAAAACACCCCCCAUUCAUAUAUUGAAUAAUUGUAAAAUCCCUACCUAUACAUAUAUUUCACAGCGAAAUCAUAACCCAUUCAUAUAUUUAUCACCCAUUGAUAUAUCACAAUCGGUCAAUUACUACCUAUUGAUAUAUUUCCUCGGUAAAAUUGCACCCCAUUGAUAUAUUUGACGGAUCAAAAAAGGGACCCAUUCCAGCGGCACAUAUGUAUAUACCUUUAUAUAGGAAGAGACCCCCCCGUGCAUUAGACAUAAGAAAAAUAAA